UCUCCCUGCUGCCGCUGCCCGCGGGCUCCCCGCGAGGCGUCGGAGCGCGUAAGCGACGCGGUGCUGCCGUUCCUGGUGCUGCUUUUAGGACAAAAAAAAAAAAAAAAAAAAAAUCGCUUUUUAAUUUUUUUUUCUUUCUUUCUUUCUUGCUUUUGUUUUAUUUUAUUUUAUUUUUCCCUAAUCGUUGCCCUCCUCGCACAAAAGCGCCGCCAGAGCGAUCGUGGCGCCUUGGUUCGCCGCUCUGUAAGGCUCCUCUUUAAAUAAACGCUUCGGCCGAAUCGAAAUGGCAAAAUUAGAUCUUCCGGCGUCUAAUAAAGGCUGAUGAAAUGAA